AAGGAUAUGUUUCGUGGGGUGUUUUGGGAAGAUGUCUUCGCUUUUGUUGGAUGUACCGCAAAGGGUGUGACAUCAUGGUUUUCCGAGGAAAUAGUCCAUGGCAACGAAAGAUUGGAUCAUAGUUGAGAAUAUGGAAUAUGUCAUUAUCGGACCAUGAAAGUAGGCUUUGCAGUUCCUUAAACUAAGUGUCUUAGUAUAAGUGAUAUUUAGAAUGCGUUUAACGUGAUUGUCAUGGCGCCCAACAACAAGUUGCAGCUACAGAGAAAAUAUCUGAAACGAAUCGAAAAGCCAUUCAAACCAUUCGAAACACCCUCAGUUCCCAAGGGGACUCCCCGAACAGGGUGUGUAACAGCUUCGAACGCCGGGACCAUGUUACGAUAUUCGGAGAAUUCCUUCGGUUGUUCGGUUCGGGCGUGUGGCGCCCCGCGAUCGAAGCAUCCCUGCUGCUCGUCAGCGCAAGCGCAACGACGAGCCCAGAAGAUGCGCAAAGAUUUAUCGCUGAUUGAUCAGCGACGGUCCGGCACAGAACCAACCCGGGAGGAAUUUCGACAACACCGGAUCGCGUAGAGUCAUCCUCUGGCAUCGAACAACACACCGCCAAGGAUAUAUACGAACGCGGCCCCGACGAGGGCUGGGUGAUGAAGUGUUGAAGCGAUGACUGGCGUAGCAGAACAAGAUCUUCCGAGCCGAGGAGCAGGCCAUGGCCGACAUCGAGCGAGAUGACAUCCGAACCGAGAUGCGGCCAGGAAAGCUGGCAGUUUUUGACUCGUCAUGGCGCUUUUCCAUAGUGUUCCUGUGCUGGAGGUCGCCGGCCGGUCGCCGGCCCAAUCCAAAAACAAUCCACCACAAUCGUCCCUCAGUGUGGUCAUGGUGGCAACACCAAAGGCUGGGAGCGCCCGAAAUAAGAUGACAACUCCCUGCUGGGCGAAAUCUCCGCUUUGGAAAGGGUUUUUCGCAGUCUUUAAUGAACUACCCCGUGCUCGUGCUGUGGCAGUGGAUUAGUUUGCUCACUUUUUGUGUGACGAUUCUCGGCCGCAGCGUUUUGUGCUGGCUUCUACGCUUGCCGCAUCCGUCGGGGACGACGGGGGCGACGACGGUUGGACUCAAUUUUUGGCAAUUAUUACGAUUUCCGGUAGAAGAUUAGAUUAGAUGCAAAACAUGCGAGGCUAAAAUGGGCUUCCACCCAGCGACCAGACAACUCAGUCGCAGCAGCCACUCUUGUCUCCCAGACCCGUCCCGUGUCGGGAAAUGCAUUAUGGCGGUGUUUUCUUUUCCUUCUCCGGGCGACCAGACGCGACGCGGCACCAGAAAAAGGGCAGUUUUGGGAUAGUCUCUGUCUGGGAGGAUAAAUAAAUUGUUGUCAACGAUCGUCUGGAGCGGAAAUGGGCAUUCUCGGGGUUGAUAAAGGUGGCCCGAUUACCGGAUGAUCGUUUGUAAUUGUAAAGUGUUUGUUGUUUUGAUAGAAAAGUGUUGUUAUCGGCGGUGGAAG